AUUGAACGCUGGCGGAAUGCUUUACACAUGCAAGUCGAGCGGCAGCGCGGGGCAACCUGGCGGCGAGCGGCGAACGGGUGAGUAACAUAUCGGAACGUACCCCGUCGUGGGGGAUAACUACCCGAAAGGGUGGCUAAUACCGCAUACGACCGGAGGGUGAAAGGGGGGGACCGCAAGACCUCUCGCGAUGGGAGCGGCCGAUAUCGGAUUAGCUUGUUGGUGAGGUAAAGGCUCACCAAGGCGACGAUCCGUAGCUGGUCUGAGAGGACGACCAGCCACACUGGAACUGAGACACGGUCCAGACUCCUACGGGAGGCAGCAGUGGGGAAUUUUGGACAAUGGGGGCAACCCUGAUCCAGCCAUUCCGCGUGAGUGAAGAAGGCCUUCGGGUUGUAAAGCUCUUUCGGCAGGAACGAAACGGCAGGCUCUAACAUAGCCUGUCAAUGACGGUACCUGAAGAAGAAGCACCGGCUAACUACGUGCCAGCCGCCGCCGUAAUAC
rnacentral:rRNA from 1 species